rnacentral:rRNA from 1 species
GUAGGGAAUAUUGCGCAAUGGACGAAAGUCUGACGCAGCGACGCCGCGUGAGUGAUGAAGGCCUUAGGGUCGUAAAGCUCUGUUGAAUGGGAAGAAAAAAAUGACGGUACCAUUCGAGGAAGGACCGGCUAACUUCGUGCCAGCAGCCGCGGUAAUACGAGGGGUCCUAGCGUUGUUCGGAAUCAUUGGGCGUAAAGGGUGUGUAGGUGGCCAUGUAAGUCAGGUGUGAAAGCCCCGGGCUCAACCCGGGAAGUGCACUUGAUACUGCGUGGCUUGAGUACCGAAGAGGGUAGUGGAAUUCCAGGUGUAGUGGUGAAAUACGUAGAUAUCUGGAGGAACACCGGUGGCGAAGGCGGCUACCUGGUCGAGUACUGACACUGAGACACGAAGGCCAGGGGAGCGAACGGGAUUAGAAACCCCAGUAGUCC